UACGGAGGGGGCAAGCGUUGUUCGGAAUUACUGGGCGUAAAGGGCGCGCAGGCGGCUGCUCAAGUCAGGCGUGAAAGGCCUGGGCUCAACCCGGGAAUUGCGCUUGAGACUGGGCUGGCUUGAGUGCGGGAGAGGAUGGUGGAAUUCCCAGUGUAGAGGUGAAAUUCGUAGAUAUUGGGAAGAACACCAGUGGCGAAGGCGGCGAUCUGGGAAGAUACUGACGCUGAGGUGCGAAAGCGUGGGGAGCAACAGG
rnacentral:rRNA from 1 species